rnacentral:rRNA from 1 species
UACGUAGGGUGCGAGCGUUGUCCGGAAUUAUUGGGCGUAAAGGGCUCGUAGGCGGUUUGUCGCGUCGGGAGUGAAAUCCACUGGCUUAACUGGUGGCUUGCUUUCGAUACGGGCAGACUGGAGGUAUGCAGGGGAGAACGGAAUUCCUGGUGUAGCGGUGAAAUGCGCAGAUAUCAGGAGGAACACCGGUGGCGAAGGCGGUUCUCUGGGCAUGUCCUGACGCUGAGGAGCGAAAGUGUGGGGGAGCGAACAGGG